ACUGCCCGCUUUCUUUCUUCCUAACACAUGCAAGUCGAACGGCAGCACAGUAAGAGCUUGCUCUUACGGGUGGCGAGUGGCGGACGGGUGAGGAAUACAUCGGAAUCUACUUUUUCGUGGGGGAUAACGUAGGGAAACUUACGCUAAUACCGCAUACGACCUACGGGUGAAAGCAGGGGAUCUUCGGACCUUGCGCGAUUGAAUGAGCCGAAGUCGGAUUAGCUAGUUGGCGGGGUAAAGGCCCACCAAGGCGACGAUCCGUAGCUGGUCUGAGAGGAUGAUCAGCCACACUGGAACUGAGACACGGUCCAGACUCCUACGGGAGGCAGCAGUGGGGAAUAUUGGACAAUGGGCGCAAGCCUGAUCCAGCCAUACCGCGUGGGUGAAGAAGGCCUUCGGGUUGUAAAGCCCUUUUGUUGGGAAAGAAAAGCAGCAGGUUAAUACCCCGCUGUUCUGACGGUACCCAAAGAAUAAGCACCGGCUAACUUCGUG
rnacentral:rRNA from 1 species